AAUUUUUGAAGAGUUAGAAUUCUCAUGAUGUCCUUUGCCAUUGCUUUCAAUGGUGUGGAACAGAUCCUUAUUGUUAUAGAUAUAGAAACUAUUCUUAGACCCUUAUUUAUAAGCUAGAGCAUUUAUUCAUACCCUCCUCCCCCCCAACCCCAAAAAGAAAAAAAGAAGCAAUUGAAAAAUUAGCACUAUUUACAUUCCAUUUUCUUAAUUGAAGGAAAAAAAUCUUUGAUUACGUAGAAUGCUGACCUUUUGGUUCUUGUGGUAUCACUUUCAUUGAUCAUUGAUUUUGGCAGUUGUUCCCCCCUUUCUUUUAGAUGGUGCUUCUGGAAGAGUUCUUGACAUUUAUUAUUUCCCCUCUGUUUUGGUUAGCAGAUGCAGAUUACAACUGGAA
rnacentral:misc_RNA from 1 species